rnacentral:misc_RNA from 1 species
GAUGAAGAACGCAGCGAAAUGCGAUAAGUAAUGUGAAUUGCAGAAUUCAGUGAAUCAUCGAAUCUUUGAACGCACAUUGCGCCCGCCAGUAUUCUGGCGGGCAUGCCUGUUCGAGCGUCAUUACAACCCUCAGGCCCCCGGGCCUGGCGUUGGGGAUCGGCGGAAGCCCCCUGUGGGCACACGCCGUCCCUCAAAUACAGUGGCGGUCCCGCCGCAGCUUCCAUUGCGUAGUAGCUAACACCUCGCAACUGGAGAGCGGCGCGGCCAUGCCGUAAAACACCCAACUUCUGAAUGUUGACCUCGAAUCAGGUAGGAAUACCCGCUGAACUUAAGCAUAUCAAUAAGCGA